GGUGAGUUGUCCGAGUGGCUGAAGGAGCACGCCUGGAAAGUGUGUAUACAGCAAUGUAUCGAGAGUUCGAAUCUCUCACUCACCGCCA
rnacentral:tRNA from 1 species